rnacentral:rRNA from 1 species
UACAGAGGGUGCAAGCGUUGUUCGGAAUUAUUGGGCGUAAAGGGAGUGUAGGCGGCUAGGAAAGUCUUCUGUGAAAUCUACGGGCUCAGCCUGUAACGUGCAGAGGAAACUAUCUGGCUAGAGUGUCGGAGAGGAUAGGGGAAUCCCCGGUGUAUAGGUGAAAUUCGUAGAGAUCGGGAGGAACACCAGUGGCGAAGGCGCCUGUCUGGAUGAGAACUGACGCUGAGACUCGAAAGGAUGGGGAGCAAACAGG